AGGACGAACGCUGGCGGCGUGCUUAACACAUGCAAGUCGAGCGGAAAGGCCCUUCGGGGUACUCGAGCGGCGAACGGGUGAGUAACACGUGAGUAAUCUGCCCCUAGCUCUGGGAUAGCUCCGGGAAACCGGGAUUAAUACCGGAUACGACCACUUUAGACAUCUGUUGUGGUGGAAAGAAUUUCGGCUAAGGAUGAGCUCGCGGCCUAUCAGCUUGUUGGUGGGGUAACGGCCUACCAAGGCGACGACGGGUA
rnacentral:rRNA from 1 species